rnacentral:lncRNA from 1 species
CAGCAGAGGGACAAGCAUGACAGUGUAUGUUCUGGAAGACUAUCAUAACCUGCAAUUCUGAAAACCUGAUGUGAGCACACUAAAGGUUGGGUAAUAAGUCACAGCAAGGGCAUCUAAUCAUCUCUAGAACGUGACAACAUUUGGUUCAGAUUCCCUUAUCAGCAUCACCUUUCCUUCUGCCUCUGCCCCAUCCUUAAAGAAGACCAGGCAGUGGGCCUUGGACAUCAGUCACACGUCGACCACUUCUUUAAACACUUCACGUGGGAAACCAUUCAGAGGCAUGAUUGCUGAGCUACAGACCUGGAAAAUAACUGUCAUCAAGACCUUUACAUCUGUCAGAGGAAUUUCAGCCCAGUGACACUGCUUUGCCCUUAUUUUUUUUUUUAUUUAUUUUAGUAAGCUCUUGGAUUUUUAUGACUUAAAACUGCUACUGCAGUGCAUUACUCUGGCAGGAGCUCUAUUUCACACAAAUUUUUACACGAUCCUUAGCCAAGAA